CGGGGUAGGAGUAACGACGUGAGGGAAACCCCCUCCAAAGAAGGGGGACAACAGUUGGAAACGACUGCUAAUACCGCAUAAGCCCACCGGCUCGGCAUCGAGCAGAGGGAAAAGGAGCAAUCCGCUUUGAGAUGGCCUCGCGUCCGAUUAGCUAGUUGGUGAGGUAAUGGCCCACCAAGGCGACGAUCGGUAGCCGGACUGAGAGGUUGAACGGCCACAUUGGGACUGAGACACGGCCCAG
rnacentral:rRNA from 1 species